rnacentral:lncRNA from 9 species
AUUCUUUGAAAUGUCAAUUGUUUAGAAUGUCUUGAACAGAUAUCUUGAAGGCCUUUUCAUGAGGCCUCCAGGCGCCCUUUUUGAAGACAUAAACCCAAGUCUGUAAUUUAUAGCAGAACCUUUAGGCAUGAAUUUAAGAAUAUCAAAAGCAGUCCAUGUAUGAUAAACACUUAAUUACUGUGGCUCAUUUAUAACUGCGAAUAGGAAUAGACUGGAGGAGAGUAAUAUUCUCUAAUUGAGUAUAAUAAAUGUCUGUUCUGUAAGGAUUUUGAUCAGUCUUUCCUCUGAGGUUAAAAAUAUAAUGUUCAGAAAGAGCAUUGAGAAAGCUCCUGGCCUUUCUUAUAAAGCAUGCAAACUUAACCUAGGAAGCCUGAGUGUCUCUUCUGGUUUAAUAACUCCUUUCAUGUAGCUCUUACAUUGUGGAUCUAAUUAAGAAAUAAAGUCUAAAUAUAGGUUUGAUCUUGGGAAAGCAAGUGGAAGUUAUCAUAGAGAACAUGAGCAUUUGAUUAAGAUAGAUAGGACUAUGAGUGCCUGCAAAACAGCACUUAGCUAUCAGUUUAAUCAAAGUGACAAUUCAGCAUCUAAAAAUAAACAUAGAAGCAGAGAAUAGUAUUGUAAGGAAUCUUAGUCCUUUCACCAAGAAGGAAACAGUUUCUUUCCUGUUAAUUAUCAAGGAUGUGGUAAAGAUAAUGUAAAAUACAGAAUAUGCUUGUGAGACAACUCUAUCCUCUAUUUAGAUUAUAUAAGAUGGGGGAAAAAAUAGCUUUUCAUGUUUCAGGUAAGGGUUGUUAAUGUCUUUCCACAAAUGGCAGGAUAAAUGUUUUAGGAUCUGCAGACCAUACAGUCUUUGGUACAGCUACUCAACUCUGUUGUUAGAACAUGAAAUUAGUCAAAGAAAAUAUGUAAAUGAAUAGGUCUGGCUGUGUUCUAGUAAAACUUUAUUUACAAAAACAGGUGACAGGCCAAAUACAGCCUGUGGAAUAUCAUUAGCUGACUUUUGUUUCAGGUGAAGGCUUUAACCACAAAACCAAGGAGGCAAGCUCAUCAAAACAGAGUGUGAAUUUUAACACAUUUCAUAGCUUCUUUUCAGACUCCGGCAUUAUAAAUCAAGGCAGAUAAAUUCAUGCCUCAGCAAUAUAAACUUUCUGUAGAAUAUAAACAUAAGAAGCAGGGGUUCUCACCAUGGUGCAGUGGGUUAUGAAUCUGACUGCAGCAGCUCAGGUCACUGCAGAAAUGUGGGUUCCAUCCCGGGAUGGGCACAGUGGGUUCAAGGAUCUGCAUUGCUGCAGCGGUGCAGUAGGUUGCAGCUGUGGCUUGGAUUCAAUCCCUGGCCCUAGACCUUCUAUGUGUUGCAUGUUUGACUAUAAAAUAAAAUAUUAAAAAGAAGCAGAGUUCCCAUUGGAAACGAAUCUGACUAGUAACCAUGAGGAUGCAGGUUUGAUCCCUGGCCUCAUGCAGUGGAUUAAGGAUCCAGCAUUGCCAUGAGCUGUGGUGUAGAUCUCAGACAGGGCUCGGAUCAUGUGUUGUUGGUUGAAUCGGAGCUGUAGCCGCCUGCCUACGCCAGAGUCAUAGCAACUCGGGAUCCGAGCCGUGUCUGUAACCUACACCACAGCUCACAGCAAUGCCAGAUCCUUAACCCACUGAACAAGGCCAGGGAUCCAACCUGAAACCUCAUGGUUUGUAGUUGGAUUCGUUAACCACUGAGCCACAACGGGAACAUUUAUAGUUGUACAAUGAUCAUCACAACCCAAUUUUAUAGCAUUUCCAUCCCUCACCCUCAGCACAUCCCCCCACCCCCAAACCUGUCUCAUUUGGAAAACAUAAGUUUUUCAAAGUCAGUGAGUCAAUAUCUAUUCUGCAAAGAAGUUCAUUCUGUCCUUUUUUUUAGAUUCCACAUGUCAGCGAUAGCAAAUGAUGUUGGUUUCUCAGUGUCUGACUUCACUUAGCAUGAUAAUUUCUAGGUCCAUCCAUGUUGCUAAAAUGCCAGUACUUUGUUCUUUUUAAUAGCUGAGUAAUAUUCCAUUGUGUAUAUGUACCACAUCUUCUGGAUCCACUCCUCUAUCAAUGAACAUUUAGGUUGUUUCCAUGUCUUGCCCAUUGAAAAUAGUGCUGCAAUGAACAUUGGAGUACAUGUGUCUUUUCAAGUAAUGGUUUUCUCUGGAUAGAUGCCCAGGAGUGAGAUUGCUGGAUAAAAUUGUAAUUCUAUUUCCAGUUUUCUAAGGAAUCUCCAUACUGCUUUCCACAGUGGUUGCACCAAUUUAUACUCCCACCAACAGUGUAAUAGGGUUCCAUUUUCUCCACACCCUCUCCAGCACUUAUUGUUUGUAGACUUUUUGACGAUGGCCAUUCUGGCUGGUGUAAGGUGGUAGCUCAUAGUGGUUUUCAUUUGCAUUUCUCUAAUAAUGAGUGAUGUUGAACAUCUUUUCAUGUUUGUAGGCCAUCUUUAUGUCUUCUUGGGAGAACUUUCUGUUUAGAUCUUCUGCCAUUUUUUGAUGGGCUUGUUUGUUUUUUGGGUAUUGAGUUAGAGGAGGUGUUUAUAAAUUUUGGAGAUUAAUCCCUUGUCAGUUGCUUCAUUUGCAAAUAUUUUCUCCCAUUCUGUGGGUUGUCUUUUCAUUUUGUUUAGGGCUUCCUUUGCUGUGCAGAAGAUUUUAAGUUUAAUUAAGUCCCAUGUGUUUAUUUUUGUUUUUAUUGUCAUUACUCUAGAAGUGGAUCUGAGAAGAUAUUGCUGUGGUUUACGUUGGAGAUUGUUUAGUCUAUGUUUUCCUCUAAGAGUUUUAUUCUAUUGGUCUUAUAUUUAGGUUUUUAGUCCAUUUUGAGUUUAUUUUUGUGUAUGGUGUUAAGGAGUGUUCUAAUUUCAUUCUUUUCCAUGUGGCUGUCCAGUUUUCCCAGUACCACUUAUUGAAGGGGCUGUCUUUUCUCCACUGUAUAUGCUUGCCUCCUUUGUCUUAGAUUAGUUGACUGUAGGUGUGAGGGUUUAAUUCUGGGCUUUCUAUCCUGUUCUACUGACCUAUGUGUCUAUCUUUGUGCCAGUACCAUAUGGUUUUGAUGACUGUUGCUUUGUAGUAUAGUCUGAAGUCCAGGAGCCUGAUUCCUCCAGCUCCAUUUUUCUUUCUCAAGGUGGCUUUUGUUAUUCUGGGUUUUUUGUACUUCCAAAAAAACUUUAAAAUAUUUUGUUCAAGUUCUGUGAAAAAUGUCCUUGGUAAUUUGACAGGGAUUGCACUGAAUCUGUAGGUUGUCUUGAGUAGUAUAGUCAUUUUGAUAAUAUUGACUCUUCCAAUCCAAGGGCAUGGUAUGUCUUUCCAUCUGUUUGUGAUAUCUUUGAUUUCUUUCAUCAGCAUCUUAUAGUUUUCAGAGUGCAGGUCUUUUAUCUCUUUAGGUAGGUUUUUUCCUAAGUAUUUUAUUCUUUUUGAUGUGAUGAUAAAUGGGAUUGUUUCCCUAAUUUCCUUUUCUGCUUUUUCAUUGUUAGUAUAUAGAAAUGCAGUCAAUUUCUAUGUAUUAAUUUUGUAUCCUGUGACUUUGCCAAAUUAAUUGAUGAGCUCUGACAGUUUUCUGGUAGCAUCUUUAAGAUUUUCUAGGCAUGGUAUCAUGUCAUUUGGAAAUAGUGAUAGUUUUAUUUCUUCCUUUCCAGUUUGGAUACUUUUUAUUUCUUUUACUUCUCUGAUUGCUGUGGCUAGGAUUUCCAAAACUAUGUUGAAUAGUAGUGACAAGAGUGGACACCUUUGUUUUGUUCCUGAUCUCAGUGGGAAUUCUUUAAGUUUUUCACCAUUGAGAAUGGUGUUAGCUCUGGGUUUGUCAUUCAUGGACUUUAUUGUGUUGAGAUAGGUUCCCUCUAUGCCCACUUUCUGAAUUUUUUUUUUUUUUUUAAUCAGAAAUGGGUGUUGAAUUUUUUUCAAAGAUUUUUCUGCAUCUAUUGAGAGGUUUUUAUUCUUCAGUUUGUUAAUGUGGUGUAUCACACUGAUUGAUCUGCAGAUAUUGAAGAAUUCUUGCAUCCUUGGGAUAAAUCCUACUUGAUCAUUAUGUACAAUCCUUUUAAUGUAUUGUUGUAUUUGGUUUGCUAGUAUUUUGUUGAAGAUUUUUGCAUCUAUGUUCAUCAGUUAAAUUGGCCUGUAGUUUUCUUCUUUUGUUUUAUCUUUGUCUGGCUUUGGUAUCAGGGUGAUGGUGGCCUCAUAGAAUGAGUUUGGGAGUGUCCCCUCCUCUGAAAUUUUUGGAAUGGUUUCAGAAGGAUAGGUGUGAGCUCUUCUCUAAAUGUUUGAUAGAAUUCGCCUGUGAAUCAGGAGUUCCUGUUGUGGCUCAGUGGCUAAUGAAUCUGACUAGGAACCAUGAGGUUGCAGCUUCGAUCCCUGACCUUGCUCAAUGGGUUAAAGAUCCAGCAUUGCCAUGAGCUGUGGUGUGGGUUGCAGACAUGGCUUGGAUCAUGCUUUGCUGUGGCUGUGGUGUAGACUGGCAUCUACAGCUCUGAUUAGACCCCUAGCCUGGGAGCCUCCAUAUGCUGUGGGAGUGGCCCCAGAAAAGGCAAAGAGCCAAAAAAAAAAUUCGCCUGUGAAGCCAUCUGGUUUUGGACUUUUGUUUGUUGGAAGUUUUUUAAUUAUGGUUUCAAUUUCAGUACUUGUGAUUGGUCCAUUCAUCUUUUCCAUUUCAUCUUGGUUUAGUCUUGGAAGAUUGUACUUUUUUAAGAAUUUGUCCAUUUCUUCUAGGUUUUUUAUUUUAUUGGCAUAUAGUUGCUUAUAGUAGUCUCUUAUGACCCUUUGUAUUUCUGUGAUGUCCAUUGUUACUUCACCUUUUUCUUUUCUAAUUUUGUUGAUUUGAGUCCUCUCUUUUUUUCUUGAUAAGUCUGGCUAGGGUUUAUCAAUUUUGUUCUUCUUUUCAAAGAACCAGAUUUUCAUUUCGUUUAUCUUUUCUAUGGUUUUCUUUGUUUCUAUUUCAUUGAUUUCUGCUCUGAUCUUUAUGAUUUCUUUCCUUCUGCUAACUUGAGGUCUUGUCUGUUCUCUCUCUAACUCCUUUAGAUGUAAAUUUAGGUUGUUUAUUUGAGCUUUUUCUUGUUUCCUGAGGUGGGCUUGUAUUGCUAUAAACUUUCCUCUUAGAACUGCUUUUGUUGCAUCCCAUAGGUUUUGGAGUGUUGUGUCUGUUGUCAUUUGCUUCUAGGUAUUUUUUAAUUUCCUCUUUGAUUAGAUUACUGAAAUUUUAUCCACAAGUUGUUUCAUGGAGAGUUUUUUUUAAAUUCCAGAUAGAAAAUCUUAGAUUUUGGGUGUUUUUGUUUUGUUUUAAUUUUUACAUUAUUGCAUUGCAGUCAGAGAAGGUUAUUUAUAUUAUUUCUAUUUUAUGGAGAUCUCAGAAAUUAUGGAGCAUAAAGUGCAUAAAAGCCCACUAUGCAGUAUCUUAAUCCCUGAUCCACAGAAUCCAGAAGCAUAAUAAAAUUGUUGUUUUACACCAUUUGCCAUUCUGUAAGGGAUAACUAGAACAUGGUAGAAUGUUAAGAAAAUUUACUUUAUAACUUUAAGAAACAGAUAAAAAAAACUCAGCAUGGAUAUGACACAAUAGGUCAUAAAAUCCAAUCAGCCUUCUGAUGUUUGAAUUACUUCUAAACAAAAUUGCAAUAAUUAUCAUCCAGACACCUCCAGUGACUGCAAAUUUACUGAUUAUAAAAGCUUUUAUAAUUAGCCUAGAAUUAUUUUUUCUUGGAGCUUUAGCCAGUAGGACAUAAUGUAAGAGAAAAAAAAAAAAA